rnacentral:rRNA from 1 species
CACGUAGGGCGCAAGCGUUGUCCGGAAUUAUUGGGCGUAAAGAGCUCGUAGGCGGUCUGUUGCGUCCGCUGUGAAAUCUCGGGGCUUAACCCCGAGCCUGCAGUGGAUACGGGCAGACUAGAGGUAGGUAGGGGAGAAUGGAAUUCCCGGUGUAGCGGUGAAAUGCGCAGAUAUCGGGAAGAACACCCGUGGCGAAGGCGGGUCUCUGGGCCGAUACUGACGCUGAGGAGCGAAAGCGUGGGGAGCGAACAGG